CCUAGUAACGGCGAGUGAAGCGGCAACAGCUCAAAUUUGAAAUCUGGCUUCGGCCCGAGUUGUAAUUUGUAGAGGAAGAUUUAGGCGCGGCACCUUCUGAGUCCCCUGGAACGGGGCGCCAUAGAGGGUGAGAGCCCCGUAUAGUUGGAUGCCUAGCCUGUGUAAAUCUCCUUCGACGAGUCGAGUAGUUUGGGAAUGCUGCUCAAAAUGGGAGGUAAAUUUCUUCUAAAGCUAAAUAUUGGCCAGAGACCGAUAGCGCACAAGUAGAGUGAUCGAAAGAUGAAAAGCACUUUGAAAAGAGGGUUAAAUAGCACGUGAAAUUGUUGAAAGGGAAGCGCUUGUGACCAGACUUGCGCCGGGCGGAUCAUCCGGUGUUCUCACCGGUGCACUCCGCCCGGCUCAGGCCAGCAUCGGUUCUCGUGGGGGGAUAAAGGCCCUGGGAACGUAGCU
rnacentral:rRNA from 1 species